rnacentral:rRNA from 1 species
AUGCCCGCGCGCAAGGCGCCAGGUCCAGACGGCUUCACUGCAGAAUUCUUGCGCGCAUGUUGGCCAAUCGUCAAACAAGACCUUGUUGACGUAUUCCAGCAGCUAUUCGCGCUUCGAGGCCGGGGUUUUAGCUGCCUAAACCAGGCGCUCCUGAUGCUGCUGCCUAAGCGUGCGGAUGCUCGCGCCUCGGCGAUUACAGACCCAUAA